rnacentral:rRNA from 1 species
GACGAACGCUGGCGGCGCGCCUAACACAUGCAAGUCGAACGAGCGAGAGGAGGUUUACUUUCUCAAGCGAGUGGCGAACGGGUGAGUAACGCGUGAGGAACCUGCCUCAAAGAGGGGGACAACAGUUGGAAACGACUGCUAAUACCGCAUAAGCCCACGACCCGGCAUCGGGUAGAGGGAAAAGGAGCAAUCCGCUUUGAGAUGGCCUCGCGUCCGAUUAGCUAGUUGGUGAGGUAAUGGCCCACCAAGGCGACGAUCGGUAGCCGGACUGAGAGGUUGAACGGCCACAUUGGGACUGAGACACGGCCCAGACUCCUACGGGAGGCAGCAGUGGGGAAUAUUGCACAAUGGGGGAAACCCUGAUGCAGCGACGCCGCGUGGAGGAAGAAGGUCUUCGGAUUGUAAACUCC